AGUGAACGCUGGCGGUAGGCCUAACACAUGCAAGUCGAACGGCAGCACAGUAAGAGCUUGCUCUUACGGGUGGCGAGUGGCGGACGGGUGAGGAAUACAUCGGAAUCUACUUUUUCGUGGGGGAUAACGUAGGGAAACUUACGCUAAUACCGCAUACGACCUACGGGUGAAAGCAGGGGAUCUUCGGACCUUGCGCGAUUGAAUGAGCCGAUGUCGGAUUAGCCAGUUGGCGGGGUAAAGGCCCACCAAGGCGACGAUCCGUAGCUGGUCUGAGAGGAUGAUCAGCCUCACUGGAACUGAGACACGGUCCAGACUCCUACGGGAGGCAGCAGUGGGGAAUAUUGGACAAUGGGCGCAAGCCUGAUCCAGCCAUACCGCGUGGGUGAAGAAGGCCUUCGGGUUGUAAAGCCCUUUUGUUGGGAAAGAAAAGCAGCAGGUUAAUACCCCGCUGUUCUGACGGUACCCAAAGAAUAAGCACCGGCUAACUUCGUG
rnacentral:rRNA from 1 species